ensembl:lncRNA
AAGCAGGAAGAGAGAGAGCGAGUUUGUGUUUUUGGUGGGUGGGGGGAGGCAUGAAUGUCAGCACAAGCCAGUCCAGGGACAGCAAAGCUGUGAGAAGGAGAAAAGCUUGGAAUGUUCAAGAAACUGACAGCAAGCUAGUGUGGCUGGAGUGUGCUGAAGGAAGGGAGUGUCACCGAGGUAACAUUGGAGAGAUUUAAUAUUCCUCCCUCAAAAUGGACCAACCAUGAGGAUAUUUUCUCUACGUGUAACUGGGCAUGUUACUUUUCUGGGACACUCUAAAAUUGGGCCAUUUUUCCUUGCGUGGUGAAGAGAUGUUUGCUUUCCCAUAAUGAUUAGGAUUUUAGCUGCCUCUGGACAUUUCUGCCAAGUUGGAGCCUGUCACUCACCUGGAACAUCCCACACCGAAUGGAAAGGACACUCUAAAGCCAUGGAGUUUGAACAGACCCAGGGCUCUCUACCAUGAGCUGCCAGGGAGUGAGUAAUUCUGGCUUCGGAAAGGGCACAUUUGUAAAGCUAAAUUAAUACGUCCUGUUUUUCAUCCGUGACUUCUCUCUGUUUCCAGUUUCAAACAGCCAGCUGCCUUGGUUACAUGACCAUGCAAAAAAAAUUUGUGGAGGCACGCUUAUUUAUCGUCAAUCCCAGGAUGGACGCAACUCUUGAAACCCAUUCAAUCAGUACUGAUCCGGAUGUUCACAGGAGAGAAAGGAGAAAUAAAAUCCAUCCAUCUUACCUUUCUGAAUGGAAACCCUAAAGUUUCCAGCAGUCCCCAAAUCCGCUAUCUUUAUUCCCUGGGGGCAGAACAGUGAGGAUAUGAAAACCCCCAUUACAUCAGCUCCUUUCCAACAUUUUGGUUUUUCAUUUCACAUGAUAAGGUUGAAAAGGCCCAUUUGGCUGUUGUAAACUGCCUUUCCUCAUCAAAGGACUCCAAGACCAGAGUCUAUAAACAUAUAUGGACACUGCGUUUCAUUGUAAACCACUAGGAAAGAAAAAUGAAAUGAUAUCUAAACACCCAGCCCCUUUCCAAUCUUCCACUUUAUUGCCAUAACUGCAGGAAAUAGGUCUUUAGUCUCUGUUGAGAACAAAAAGCUGGCCAACCUCAAGUUUAAAGGCUUAUGUGGCCCCAGAGCAAAAUAUCCCAAAACUCCACCAAACCAAAUCCAAGGGUAACAAGAGCCCUGUUGUCGCAACUCCUAUAUUUACAAAAAUGGACAAACUGGGCCCCGCUGGGAGGCAUCUCCUUGUCUCCUAAUUAACGGUUUUACUUUCCUUUGACCGGUGGCCAGCUGCCCUGGGUAACCGCCAUGGCACAGGAGAGCUAAACAUUAACAAUUGGAAGUAAAGACGAGGCCAAUAAAACCAAAACAAGUUGCAGGAUGACCUGAGGACUGAAAGCACAUGUGCUGAUUUCUUCUCACCAAGGAGAAGUUGCCAGGCUGGGAACUUGGUGUCAUUCAUCCCAUGGCUUAUUGAUUAAAAGAAGCUUGUAACUGUCAGGCUCUUAAAGUCAAAAGGACAAACUCGCAAUCAGGCCAUGACCCAAAGCACACACAAGGUACUUCCUUAUUGGUAAAUCAGAAUCACAGUGAAGAGCCAGGUGACAGCAGCCAGCCGCACCACCUGGGAUCAUAGAGAAGAGAGGGCACUGGGGCCAUGGGUGUCCCACGUACAAGUUACAUAAAGAUAACACCGGCUCACAACUCCGG